rnacentral:rRNA from 1 species
UACGUAGGGUGCAAGCGUUAAUCGGAAUUACUGGGCGUAAAGCGUGCGCAGGCGGUUUUGUAAGUCUGUCGUGAAAUCCCCGGGCUCAACCUGGGAAUUGCGAUUGGAGACUGCAAGGCUAGAAUCUGGCAGAGGGGGGUAGAAUUCCACGUGUAGCAGUGAAAUGCGUAGAGAUGUGGAGGAACACCGAUGGCGAAGGCAGCCCCCUGGGUCAAGAUUGACGCUACAUGCAC